rnacentral:rRNA from 1 species
GUGGGGAAUAUUGGACAAUGGGCGAAAGCCUGAUCCAGCAAUGCCGCGUGGGUGAAGAAGGUCUUCGGAUUGUAAAGCCCUUUCGGCGGGGACGAUGAUGACGGUACCCGCAGAAGAAGCCCCGGCUAACUUCGUGCCAGCAGCCGCGGUAAUACGAAGGGGGCUAGCGUUGCUCGGAAUGACUGGGCGUAAAGGGCGCGUAGGCGGUGCAUUUGGUCAGGCGUGAAAGUCCUGGGCUCAACCUGGGGACGGCGCUUGAUACGGGUGUGCUUGAGUGUGGAAGAGGGUCGUGGAAUUCCCAGUGUAGAGGUGAAAUUCGUAGAUAUUGGGAAGAACACCGGUGGCGAAGGCGGCGACCUGGUCCAUUACUGACGCUGAGGCGCGAAAGCGUGGGGAGCAAACAGGAUUAGAAACCCGUGUAGUCC